CGCUCGGCCCGACGUCGCUAGCGCUCCACCAAUCCCUCGCACGCCUCCUCCUCUCCCCAAUCCCCUCUCGUUUGGCGGCCUCCUCCGCUCCUAGCCGCCGCCUCCGCUCCGCGCCCGCCCGCCGCCGCCUCCAGCCACCGCCUCGCUAUCCUCCCGGCCAUCUUCUGCGCUCGCGCCACCGCCCCUGCCUCUUCCUCAGCGCCGACGCCGCCUCCUCCUCAGCGCCUCGCGCGUCCUCUCUGCCCGAAGCCGCCGCACACCCAAUCCCGUCGCUCGCGCUCCUCCCCAAUCACCAUCUCCAUCGUGCCGCCGCCACCCCCUUGUCUCUCUGCUCCUCUCUCCUCCUCAGCCUUCCCCCACUCCCAGCCAGAGCAACUGCCACGCAUCCAGGCCUCCGUCUUGGAGAUGUGCCGCAGGGGAUCCAUCCACGACGCCGCCGUCGACAUCCUCCUCGGCGUGAUGAGCUCCGUCGUCUCCAUCCAUGGCUUCACUCCGUCAAUCGCGCCAGCCAGUCGGGGGCUGUGCACACCAUCGACACUCGGAGGGUGCCAUCUCGUAUCGUUGCGAGUUUUCCGCCUCGCGCUGGACCCGAGCGGCGCCGGUGACGGCUUCAGACCUCGUCGUCCCCUGCAGGCCGCAGCCAAACCGCACCAUAGGGAGCCAAGCUGAGUCGUCCCUUGUUCGUCUCUGCCAGCCCCUCCCUUCACCUCUCUCCUCCUUGGCGCUCAUAACAAGAGAAGCAUGGCUGCUGCACGGCGGGAGUGGGUGGCGCCACCGUCCACGUCCUCAGCAUCAAGAAGUCCACAUCUAUCUAGGUGCAUCUGUCCCCUUUCUUCACCCCCUCCCCCUCGAGCAUUGGAUGGGACACAACGCCCACGCCUAGGCCAUGCGGAUGGAUGUCGAAGAGGAGCAGCUGUUAGACACUGUCGUGGCUGUCAGGUUGUGAUGCCUAGGCCCUGGAGAUUAACAACGACGAGGAGUAGAUUGUCCUCCGUUCCUGGCUCGUGAUUGGGCUAGCAACUGCGGAGCAUUUGACCAGUAACACGUUUAUGCAGGGAAGAGGCUGUAGAAGAGGUCAUUUAGCUUUUGCACAACGUGAUCUUCUCACAAAGCAAUUUUCGCUAUUGGAGUGGACAACAUGCUACUGUGUUCAUCUACCUGACAUGCUUUGGAUUUUGUCAGGUUCAUCACCUCAUUUACUGGUACUUCAUUGAAAAAUAAUAUCCGAGAGUACCACCAGAGAGGCUAUAUAUGCAAGCUAUGAACAUUGAAACGAGCAAAUCCCAGCUGUACAUUCUCUUCACUGCGUGAGAUACAAAAGAUCACAACUCAUAUUGGAUUCAUAAGGUGGGUUUUUGAUUACUGUUCCUUUAACAUGCCUGCUUCAUUCAAGUGCAGAGAGACACCAAAGAAAACAUGUAUGUGCUCCUUCUUACCAGCUACAAGAAUCAUCUAUUUCAUGUUAUUUCACUAGGAUUAUAUCCUCCUAUUUGCUACAGUUUCAUUCUCAUCUGGUAUGUUGCCUGUUGAUUUGGCAUUAUUGCUAGGUUAGCUAUUCCUUGUGAAAAUAUAUUGUACACCAAAAUAAUUUGGAAAAAUAAAUUAAUAGUCAGUUCUUAGACAUGUGUCAGAUAAUAUACCUAAUACUGAAACAUAUGGUGAACAUGAUGGUGCUACUGCUGCAGCUUCUGCCAUCUGCCUCUUUUCCAUCUUCCUUCUUUUAUUAUUGAAAUUCAGAGUUAGUCACAACUCAAGGGUACAUGUUUUAUUUUCAUGUUCUGAAGCAUAUACGAUAAGGAUCAUCCAUCUUAAUAAUUUUGACGCUGCCGUUCUUUACAUUUCGCCUCUGCCAGAACAGUAUUGUGCGAUUAUUUUUAUUGUAUAGCCUGUUUAUGGAUAUCUCAUUUAACUGUUUUGCGCACAUGUGACCAGUUUGCUCUUUCUACUUAUUAGUUAACCAAGGUAUCUAAAAGUUCCGCUAUUAGUAAUUUGGUUUUACUCGACUAAUACUGCCAUCGAUAUAUGGAGUUUGGGAUCCUAUAUAGCAGAAUGAUUUCUCUUUACUUGAUUAUCAUGUAUACCUUCUCUAGGGGAUUAAGCUGACAUUUUCCUAUACUGUAACUGCUUAGUGUUUUCAUAUUAUCUCACUAUGUGGACUAGACUAAUUUUUUUUUGACGAAUCGCCUACUCAUCUUAUAAUAUAUCAUUGAUAUGUGGAUUCGGUAGGAAAGGAUGAUCAAGAUAUGGAAAUUUUGUGUGCAUGACAUGAAGCAAUAGAAUUAAUGCCUUCUAUAAACAUAUCUGAACUGUGUCGACCUCAUUGUUCCAUACGUAUUUUCCUAUAUGUUCUCCCUAUGUUCUGAGUGAUUAGUUGUGAUACUUCAAGUUAAGUAGGCUUUUAGCAAUUUCAUUUCCCAAACCUGCAUUACCAAGAGCUCUCUUCGUUUGGUUGGUUCUUUCUUGAUCAUAUAUUUUCACUUUAUUGUGAUGUAUGAUAAACCGCUAAGCUCCCUAAUUUGGCCAUGACUAGAGUGUGUUAUUAUCGAGUUACCAAGGGUUUUGCAUGACCGGGGCCAUGAUAAAUUACGAGUUAAUAAAACAUGAGUUCUGACGUGAUGCUUGAAAAUACUUGCAGGUGUGGUAUAUGGCAUCUACAGCGAGUCCCGGAGUGGCCUGAGCCCGCGAAAGGUUCACAAGAGACAUGCUGCUUUGGCUUGAGCACAACACAGGGUCUGAUUGAGUGUGAGAGCAACAGUAAACAUAAUUGGGUUCAUGGUGUACAAAAUCUGCUCCAGCAAGUUGAUGUAACUGAUCAGCGUUUUGAGAAGGAAAAGGUCAUCUAUACAAUGGGUGUACCAAAAUGGAGUCUGCGGUUCAGCUGAACUAAUGUCAUUGCUACAUGUGAAUCUAUUGAUGGAUCUUACCCGAUACCUGGUUAGCUGACUGAAAUGAUUGAACAUAUUUUCCUGUAUAUAGAUUCACAUGUGAAUCUAUUGAUGGAUCUUACCUGAUACCUGGUUUCCUAACUGAAACUAAAUCUACGCUACUUCUCACCGGUCUUAUUUUGACACUCGGUCUUUAUUUGUGUCAUUGUUCUGUGAUAACCUAGAAAGUUGUAUUUUCCCUUCAAAUAUGUUAGAUGAUUCAGUAAUGAAGUUUGAAUUAUUGUUGCAUUGCGCAUUUGUUUCUGUUGUCAUCUACCUAACUGCUGGUUGUCAGACUUUUGCUUUUGUCUUUGAUUGAGAGGAGUAUAUCUAUUUUGGUAGUUGUAGUUUCUCUGCCUUAUUCUUAGUGUAGAUAUGUCAGCUUUUUAAGUAGACACAUGAGGUGAUUUGGAUGAGUGAGGUGACCAUGCUAAGAAAGAAGGUUUCGAUGCACACUGCCUAUUUGCUGAGAUGCAGGUACUUCGGUUGUUGCUCCCUAAGUUCCUGUGCAGUUUAUUUUCAUUGUAUGGAUUUUGGAGGGUGGCCAUAUGCAAGGAGGACCUGUCAUGUGUUAAUUUGGAGAAUGGGUAUAUGCAAGGUUUACAUGGCAAUCAUUGCAUGGUUUCUGGCAUGUGUGUGGUUCUUCAGAUGCUUCCGUUUUAUGGAUGAUGUUGAUUCCUUGCCACAUCUUACAGUGCUGGUUUCCUACCAUUCUUUAAGGAUACGACAUAGGGUUCAAAUUCUUGGUUAAUUUACCUUGCCAUUUACAGCAGUGUUAGCUUUGGGUUGUGCAAGUACCUAUUAAAUUAUGUGUAAUAUCCUGUGAAGACAAUGCUAUGUUACUUUUGUUGAUCUUUCCUUCUUUUGCACUUCACAAAACUAUAAGCUCUUGGUUGCU